ACUCAAAGGAAUAGACGGGGGCCCGCACAAGCGGUGGAGCAUGUGGAUUAAUUCGACGCAACGCGAAGAACCUUACCAAGGCUUGACAUCCCGAUGACCGGUAUAGAGAUAUACCUUUUCUUCGGAACAUCGGUGACAGGUGGUGCAUGGUUGUCGUCAGCUCGUGUCGUGAGAUGUUGGGUUAAGUCCCGCAACGAGCGCAACCCUUGUCUUUAGUAGCCAGCACAUAAUGGUGGGCACUCUAGAGAGACUGCCGUGGAUAACACGGAGGAAGGUGGGGAUGACGUCAAAUCAUCAUGCCCUUUAUGUCUUGGGCUUCACACGUGCUACAAUGGCGGUAACAAAGUGACGCAAGCAGGCAACUGUAAGCAAAGCACAAAAAAGCCGUCUCAGUUCGGAUUGGGGUCUGCAACUCGACCCCAUGAAGUUGGAAUCGCUAGUAAUCGUGAAUCAGCAUGUCACGGUGAAUACGUUCCCGGGCCUUGUACACACCGCCCGU
rnacentral:rRNA from 1 species